UACGGAGGGUGCAAGCAUUAAUCGGAUUUAUUGGGCGUAAAGGGCGCGUAGGCGGGAAUGUUAGUCAGAUGUGAAAGCCCAGGGCUCAACCCUGGAACAGCAUUUGAAACUACAUUUCUAGAGGAUAGGCGGAGAAAACGGAAUUCCACGUGUAGCGGUGAAAUGCGUAGAUAUGUGGAAGAACACCGGUGGCGAAAGCGGUUUUCUAGCUUAGACCUGACGCUGAGGCGCGAAAGCAAGGGGAGCAAACAGG
rnacentral:rRNA from 1 species